UCUUAGGUAGUAUAGUGGUUAGUAUUCGCGCCUGUCAUAAGGGUUUAACUCUAGAUCGCGCGAGACUGGGGUUCAAUGUCCGCCUGAGAG